UGGCCCCCUGGACAAAUGGCGGGCCCUGCACUCGUGAGAGCCUUGGCGCUGUGUAUGCAGCCUGUUGCCUGUGUGGGUUGCCCUAAGGGACCUUGGAGACAGCC
rnacentral:snoRNA from 1 species